CCCUAUUAUUAAUAAAUUAGAAAGACUAUUAUAUGUAAAGAAAUUUAAAAAUUUUGGCGGUUAAUUAUUAAUUAGAGGAGCUUGUUUAUAGAAUUUACUCUUUAUAUUUUAUUAAUUUUUGUUUAUUUAUCUCCGUUAUUAAGUAUUAACUUUAUAAGAGGGUAUAACUUAAAUUUCAGGUCAAGAUGUAGCUUAAAUUAGACUUAAUUAGCUACAUUUAUUAUAUAUGUGAAUUUAAUGUUUAAGAGAAAAUUUUAAUGAAAUUGAAUUUAAUUGUAAAUUUAUUUAUAGAGAUAAAUUGAAGGUAUAUAAUUAAUGUA
rnacentral:rRNA from 1 species